GAUGAACGCUGGCGGCGUGCCUAAUACAUGCAAGUCGAGCGAACAGACGAGGAGCUUGCUCCUCUGACGUUAGCGGCGGACGGGUGAGUAACACGUGGCUAACCUACCUAUAAGACUGGGAUAACUUCGGGAAACCGGAGCUAAUACCGGAUAAUAUAUUGAACCGCAUGGUUCAAUAGUGAAAGACGGUUUUGCUGUCAUUUAUAGAUGGAUCCGCGCCGCAUUAGCUAGUUGGUAAGGUAACGGCUUACCAAGGCAACGAUGCGUAGCCGACCUGAGAGGGUGAUCGGCCACACUGGAACUGAGACACGGUCCAGACUCCUACGGGAGGCAGCAGUAGGGAAUCUUCCGCAAUGGGCGAAAGCCUGACGGAGCAACGCCGCGUGAGUGAUGAAGGUCUUCGGAUCGUAAAACUCUGUUAUUAGGGAAGAACAAAUGUGUAAGUAACUAUGCACGUCUUGACGGUACCUAAUCAGAAAGCCACGGCUAACUACGUG
rnacentral:rRNA from 1 species